ensembl:lncRNA
UCUCCUUCUAAUGUGUGCUCAAGGACGAGAUGGGACUGAAGCCUGCCACGAAGUAUGGAAACAAUCCUUUUGAGUCUUGGUCUCCAGUAAGAGAUAUUCACCACUGAUGCUGGACGUCCAUGGACCUCCAAAAACUGCAAAAGUUCUGGCAUGGAAAUCAGGAUGUCCAGCAGAUUUUAGAGAAGCUUCAGAGAGAUGGGACUGGAGAACGCCUAUGUUAUCGUCAGCUGGCCACUGCACGAAUUUCCACUCCCGUGAGUUCUGCCCACGACACAUUACUCUUGGUUUAUAUUAACAAGGAGGUUAAGAUGCAGCUUUGUAUUAGCUUUAUAAGUGAUGUGUAAACAUACUAUAUAAUCAAUAUUGAUGUUGCCUUUCCAAUUAUUGGACAUCAUUCCUAAUCCUUUAUUUACUGUGUUAUAAGUUGUAUUAUAUUUGUUUAAAAAAAAAAUAAAUCCAGAACAUGAUAUGGUCA